rnacentral:rRNA from 1 species
UUCGUCCAAGUGAAGCAGAGGACAGUGGCGGACGGGUGAGUAACGCGUGAGGAACCUGCCUUGAAGAGGGGGACAACAGUUGGAAACGACUGCUAAUACCGCAUGACGCAUAGGGGUCGCAUGAUCUUUAUGCCAAAGAUUUAUCGCUUCAAGAUGGCCUCGCGUCUGAUUAGCUGGUUGGCGGGGUAACGGCCCACCAAGGCGACGAUCAGUAGCCGACCUGAGAGGGUGAUCGGCCACAUUGGAACUGAGAAACGGUCCAGACUCC